rnacentral:tRNA from 1 species
GCCGCGUUCGUCUAGCCUGGUCCAGGACGCUGGCCUCUCACGCCGGUAACACGGGUUCGAAUCCCGUACGCGGUA